CCUGCAAAAAUUAUAUGUUGAGUUGUAUGUCCAGACUCCAGUAAAAAAUAAUGACAUUGGCAUUUUAAGAAAGUAUGCACUAGCUUAAUAGAAUCAAGCCAUUGAUUUGCUUAUGUGGUCACAAAUGAAUUAUAAAUCUAUCAAGAUUUAAUAAGAAAAUAGCAGCAAUAUUUACCCAUUAAGCUUAUAAUCAUCAUGAUUACAAUUUUCCUCAUUUUUGGGGCUCCCAAUAUAAAACAGCUAACUCAAGCGCAAUCUAAUAAUUUAUGCAAUAGUUCAAACAACCUUUCAUUUAGUUCGUAUACUGUCAGUAGAAUUAAGUGAUUUAGAAUACUAGUUUUGAUGUGUACAUUAUAAGGUAUAGAUAUAUGGCGUAAUUCCCACUCUGUUCCAUGUAAAUUCUUGGCUAAUAAUUCUUGUGUUUCUGUUUCCUGAGACAUGUCCUGCAAUAAUCAUCAGACAUGUCCUACAAUAAUCAUCCAGAUGCUGCUACUGCCUGUGCUGCUAAAGCUUGGGUUGCUAUUCGAUUAUUUCUUUUAAUAAACUAUAAAGUAAAUAACUUUACACUUUUAAAUUUCAUUGAUCAUAACAUAAAGAAAAGAUCAACAAAGUAAGGGCAAAAGACACAUUACAGUUGAGAAACUAUAACCACACCUUUACCAUCAAAGGAUUGCAGUGGUGGAUCAACAAUGCGCCUGAAAUUAUCACGAACUAUGUUGGAUGAGUAAUGCAUUUUGCUUGGAAUCCUUAUCCGAUUCCCUUGUUCCAAAAGAUGCCCCCACCAUAAACUCCCCACUCGAUUCAAACGACGGUAACCCUCCUGAUUUCCGAAAUCGUCGAAUCCCCUCUCCACAUCAAUUCGUCACCAAAUCAACUUAUCCAUUUCUCUCAUUCACUAAUGGAACAAAUUUAAGACUCUUAGCAGCAAAAUAACCAGGACAUGUACUACUGAAUUCACCAUAUAAUCAGAAACCCUAGCUUCUCUACUAUCAUCCGAUUUCUCCCGAUCGGAUUUUGUAACUACCCCUAUAAGCUUCGAAUUUUGGGUUGAUCCAUGUAAUUGAAGUUGGAUCGACUUGUGUUUGCAUUGCCCUUUAUCGGAUACUACUGAUUUUAAGCUUUACGGUUUGAAACAUUUUUGAGAGAGAAUGAAGAGUUCAGCCGCGAGGAGAGAGAAAAGGACGAA
rnacentral:lncRNA from 1 species